rnacentral:lncRNA from 1 species
UGAGCCUUCGGGUCCUCAUCUGACAGUCAUGACCGCAGCAGCCGGGUGUGAGGGCAGGGCUGGGUGUUCGGAGACCUUCAGAAGCCUGGUCAUGGAGGGCCUGCCCAGGGACCCCCCUGCCUCUCCCCCCAGGCCCCAUGGCGGCAGAGACUCACAGGCAAAGAACUGCCAGGGCUGGUAGGUGCGGCCGAAGUCCAUGGACCGCUCCAGCACCCAGAGGUCCGGCCGGGACAGGGGCCCUGGACAGCUGUCCUCGAGGGCCUGGUGGCUGCACAGAUGGUCACAGGAAGGGAAGCCUGCGCUGGAGGACUCCCAUCUGUCUCUGACCUGGUUGCGGCUCCCAGGGCCACACCGGCCGCCCUCGCCAUGACCCGGAGCGAGCGCAGACCCCUGGCUUCAGGACCGCCCUUCCCCCUCCACGCCCCGCUCAGCUCAGCUGCCAGUGCUGACCUUUCCGCUGCUACAUAGUUCUGUGCAGAAAGAAAAAAAAAUUCUUUUAAAGCAAAAGCCA